AUUGAACGCUGGCGGAAUGCUUUACACAUGCAAGUCGAACGGUAGAGGGGCAACCCCUUGAGAGCGGCGAACGGGUGAGUAACGCGUACGAAACCUACCUUUAAGAGAGGGAUAGCCCUGGGAAACUGGGAGUAAUACCUCAUAGUAUUCAAUAACCGCAUGGUUUAUGGAUUAAAGCUGCGGCGCUUAAAGAUGGUCGUGCGUCUGAUUAGCUAGUUGGUAGGGUAACGGCCUACCAAGGCGACGAUCGAUAGGUGGUCUGAGAGGACGAUCACCCAGACUGGGACUGAGACACGGCCCAGACUCCUACGGGAGGCAGCAGUCGGGAAUUUUGCGCAAUGGGGGAAACCCUGACGCAGCAAUACCGCGUGUGGGAUGAAGGCCUUCGGGUCGUAAACCACUUUUCUCGGGGACGAUAAUGACGGUACCCGAGGAAUAAGCCACGGCUAACUACGUG
rnacentral:rRNA from 1 species